UACGUAGGGUGCAAGCGUUAAUCGGAAUUACUGGGCGUAAAGCGUGCGCAGGCGGUUUUGUAAGCCAGAUGUGAAAUCCCCGGGCUUAACCUGGGAAUGGCAUUUGGGACUGCAAGGCUGGAGUUUGGCAGAGGAGACUGGAAUUCCCGGUGUAGCAGUGAAAUGCGUAGAUAUCGGGAGGAAUACCGAUGGCGAAGGAAGGUCUCUGGGCUAUAACUGACGCUCAUGCACGAAAGCGUGGGAGCAAACAGG
rnacentral:rRNA from 1 species